GAGUUUGAUCAUGGCUCAGAUUGAACGCUGGCGGCAUGCCUUACACAUGCAAGUCGAACGGUAACAGGUCUUCGGAUGCUGACGAGUGGCGAACGGGUGAGUAAUACAUCGGAACGUGCCCGAUCGUGGGGGGAUAACGGAGCGAAAGCUUUGCUAAUACCGCAUACGAUCUACGGAUGAAAGCAGGGGACCGCAAGGCCUUGCGCGGACGGAGCGGCCGAUGGCAGAUUAGGUAGUUGGUGGGAUAAAAGCUUACCAAGCCGACGAUCUGUAGCUGGUCUGAGAGGACGACCAGCCACACUGGGACUGAGACACGGCCCAGACUCCUACGGGAGGCAGCAGUGGGGAAUUUUGGACAAUGGGCGAAAGCCUGAUCCAGCCAUGCCGCGUGCAGGAUGAAGGCCUCGGUUGUAAC
rnacentral:rRNA from 1 species